rnacentral:rRNA from 1 species
ACAGGGAUUGCCCUAGUAACGGCGAGUGAAGCGGCAACAGCUCAAAUUUGAAAUCUGGCGUCUUCGGCGUCCGAGUUGUAAUUUGCAGAGGGCGCUUUGGCAUUGGCAGCGGUCCAAGUUCCUUGGAACAGGACGUCACAGAGGGUGAGAAUCCCGUACGUGGUCGCUAGCCUUUACCGUGUAAAGCCCCUUCGACGAGUCGAGUUGUUUGGGAAUGCAGCUCUAAAUGGGAGGUAAAUUUCUUCUAAAGCUAAAUACUGGCCAGAGACCGAUAGCGCACAAGUAGAGUGAUCGAAAGAUGAAAAGCACUUUGGAAAGAGAGUUAAAAAGCACGUGAAAUUGUUGAAAGGGAAGCGCUUGCAGCCAGACUUGCCUGUAGUUGCUCAUCCGGGUUUCUACCCGGUGCACUCUUCUAUAGGCAGGCCAGCAUCAGUUUGGGCGGUUGGAUAAAGGUCUCUGUCAUGUACCUCCUUUCGGGGAGAACUUAUAGGGGAGACGACAUGCAACCAGCCCGGACUGAGGUCCGCGCAUCUGCUAGGAUGCUGGCGUAAUGGCUGUAAGCGGCCCGUCUUGAAACACGGACCAAGGAGUCUAACAUCUAUGCGAGUGUUUGGGUGUCAAGCCCGAACGCGUAAUGAAAGUGAACGGAGGUGGGAACCUUUCGGGGUGCACCAUCGACCGAUCCUGAUGUCUUCGGAUGGAUUUGAGUAAGAGCAUAGCUGUUGGGACCCGAAAGAUGGUGAACUAUGCUUGAAUAGGGUGAAGCCAGAGGAAACUCUGGUGGAGGCUCGCAGCGGUUCUGACGUGCAAAUCGAUCGUCAAAUUUGGGCAUAGGGGCGAAAGACUAAUCGAACUAUCUAGUAGCUGGU